AGGAAAAUGACAAAAGGUUAGGACUUAAAUUAGGACUCAAGCAAAUUAAACAGACGAAGAUGGGGAUAUGGAAAAGAAGUUGGGAAAAAGCUUUUCUUUCCAGAGGUGGACAAGAAAUUAGCACCUUUCUAGCAGCCAAUAAAAGGUUGAAGGGCAUGAGAUAUAUGCUUGCUAAUACACUUUCUAUGAUGGGAAAAAGGUGUUACAGGAACAUGGGAAAAUGUGAUCUGGUUAGUGACAGAGAAGAAGUGGUUGUUUCUUUCGAUUUUUGUUUUCAAAUUCCAUUUUGCAGCUCUGUAUAUGCCUACUUGUUUUCUUUUUGUUAGAUCCGUCUUUUCUUAAUUCAGAAUUAUUGUUGGUGAUCCAUGGCCAUAGAUGAUCAACCUAUCCUGUUGUUGUCAGCUUAUAGGCCAUUCUUAUCUAAAUCUACUGAGAUUCUAGCAAGGCACAUGUAUUAUGAUCAGUGUAGAAUGGCAUGUUUUGUUAGGCACGUAAAGUUUAUAGGAAGACUCGACAUUAGAAAUAAUUAAGAUUAC
rnacentral:lncRNA from 1 species